CUACUAUCAGCGAUCCUUAAAAUAUCAGACCUCACCCAUUGUCAUACUCAUUCUCCGUCAGGCCUGUUCAACAGGUUUGGCUGUCAGUAGCCUCAUUCAGCCUAUUCUGCCCGGAAAAGACGAAAACACUAGGCCUAGCGAUGGCCUGUGCCCAUGCCUUGUCCCAAUUUAUCAGAGAGCUGAACUGAGUGGAAAGUACUCACCAGCUGUUUGGCUAGAGGGUCUACUCUUCAGAAGAGCCUUUAGAGGAGGAUUUGGUGACCUGAACGAUCUCCACAGAGGUGAAGCCCUUUCCUACUGAAGCACGAUUCCUGGUGCGCAGCUUGUUCAGGGCCAUCUCUGCAUUGCCAGCCCUCUCCUCUGCAUCAUCAAGCUCAUGCACAGUCUUCCUGUAUUUGGACAGACUGGAAUUGGCUUGCUCCUCCUAAUAAAGCACAGUCUGGAAGACCAGCUCCUUCAGACGACGCUCAUUCUUACGCAGGACCUUCACUGUCUCAACAUGCCGUUUCUGCUCGCCAUCCAGCUCUGUCUCCACCUCUCGGAUCUAGGAACACACAAGAGUACCUCAUUGUCAGAGGAGCCAGGAAUGGCAUGGGGUCCACCUCAUCCCCACACUCUCCUUUGUAUCCACCUGGCAUGGUUACGCUUGACAAACGCAACCUCUAGUCCAAAAGCACCGAGAGAGGUUCCCUCAGGAAUGCUGUACACCUGUAAAACAAAAGACAUGAGCAGGAUCACAUAAAAACUAGCGUGCAUUUUCAUGAAACUUGGUGUAAGGGUGGAGAAUGGACGAAGGAAGACCCCAUUACUAGGUGGCAGGCUUGAGUUACACAAGAAAGAAGGAGUCGGUUUUCAGUGACCUCAGAUCUUACGGAUCUGUCUACAUGGGAAACAUAUUAAACAG